UUGUUAUGGUUAUAUGUUGUAUUAGAUCUGUAAUAUUACAUGCUAUCUACAAUCUAGAUGUCUUAAAUCACAUGAAAGUUACCAGUAUUGCAAGUUAUGGAGCUCUAAAGUAGGUACCUUGUACUGUUCUUCAUUUCUGGAAAACCCAGAAAUGAAGAACAGCGUCUGACAAUGGUUUUGAGAGAUUAAAUCUCUUGGUUGUUUAAUGAU
rnacentral:lncRNA from 1 species